rnacentral:rRNA from 1 species
AUCUUCCGCAAUGGGCGAAAGCCUGACGGAGCAACGCCGCGUGAGUGAUGAAGGGUUUCGGCUCGUAAAACUCUGUUAUUAGGGAAGAACAACUGUGUAAGUAACUGUGCACACCUUGACGGUACCUAAUCAGAAAGCCACGGCUAACUACGUGCCAGCAGCCGCGGUAAUACGUAGGUGGCAAGCGUUAUCCGGAAUUAUUGGGCGUAAAGCGCGCGUAGGCGGUUUCUUAAGUAUGAUGUGAAAGCACACGGCUCAACCGUGGAGGGUCAUUGGAAACUGGGAAACUUGAGUGCAGAAGAGGAAAGUGGAAUUCCAUGUGGAGCGGUGAAAUGCGCAGAGAUAGGGAGGAACACCAGUGGCGAAGGCGACUUUCUGGUCUGUAACUGACGCUGAUGUGCGAAAGUGUGGGGAUCAAACA